CAACGUGCAGUCGGCUCAGCGCAAAAAUGGCAAUUUUGUCAAGUCCACAAAAACGAGCGUGUCCAUUUAUUGAUCAAACAAGUCGAUAUAGUGAUGAUCAUUACAGGCUUACGUAGCGUGCUAACGCGCUUAUUCGAGUUGAUGACUUGGUUUGAGAUUGUUUUAUCGCAGCGGUUGAAGGGCAGUUACACUCCGUGGCCGUAGGGGGAGCCGUGGAGCUAAAAAUUGUGUGGCUGGAAAUGGGCAAGACGGGUAUAACCCCUCGCAGGCCGAGCUGAUGACUGACUUUGGCAAAGAAAUUUGUGUUGUUACUCCCGAGUACAGGCCGCCGUCGCAGUUCAGCACACGUCGCUUUGGGGUGCGAACUGCGUGGAUCUCGUGAGGCCGACAAACAUUGUCAGCGCUUGAUAAACUGAAAAAGAAAGCCUGAGAGGAAGCGGAUGGUUUCCUGUUGAAAUACAGCGGUUAACAUGCUUUGCGGCACCAGAGACGUGACAACGUGACCGAGAACGGGGUGAACCCGUGACUUGCCU